rnacentral:rRNA from 1 species
UACGAAGGGUGCAAACGUUGCUCGGAAUCAUUGGGCGUAAAGCGCGUGUAGGCGGCUUUGCAAGUCGGGUGUGAAAGCCCUCAGCUUAACUGAGGAAGUGCGCCCGAAACUGCAGAGCUUGAGUACCGGAGAGGAUGGUGGAAUUCCCCAAGUAGAGGUGAAAUUCGUAGAUAUGGGGAGGAACACCGGUGGCGAAGGCGGCCUGCUGGGCAGUUGCUGACACUGAGGCGCGACAGCGUGGGGAGCAAACAGG